GAGCUGCCGUGCGAGUUGCCUCACACAGCCCCGCACAUCCUCCGCCGGCCGCCUGCGGGGAGCAGCGGGGUCGGCCCGGCGGGAUCCGAGCGCUUCUGGCUGCAGACAGCAAAGCCUUAGCGCGGCGGGACGCCCCGAGUCACACAACCCAGCAUCACACCUGAUCCAGCUCCUACUCCAGCGGCCACAGUGGCUUCGCACCCUGCAGAGCAUCGGUGGCACUGAUCCUGACACGAGCUGCGUGGGGCUUUGUGGGGAGGGGUUUGGGUUGGUGGUAUUUUUUUGUGCCUAAAUAACUUAAAGGGGGGAGGAAUAACUUCUGAUGCAAAUGAACAGCUCUUUAAUUUUAAGAGACUCUUAUUUUGCAGCAGUGUUUUUUGUUGCCUUGCUAUUGAACUUUGAAAAUAGUGUGGCGGGGGGAAGGCAGUGAUGAAGGUUCUUGAAGGCUUAAGAUUUAGUUAAGUGAGUGACUCAAGACGGCACAAAGAAAGUUACUUAGUUAAUUAAGAAUUAUUCACCUUCUGAUACCGGCGCAGCAGUUUGUUGCGAUGACAGUGCGAACCUGGGGCAGGUGGAGGCAGGAGGCAGCAGGGGAGGAGGCAGAUUUCACUCGUUGUUGUUUUUAUUAUUUUUUUUUCUCCAGGACAAGUUAAAUUGCAGCUGAAGGAAAGAGAUUUCAGGAUUAAAAUGCAGACUGGGGAGACCGGGCUUGUUUGGUCACCGGCCGCACCGAGCGCUCCAUGUCGGUCCCGCUCCUCGGGGCUCGCCGGGGGCUGGCAGCGGGGCCGGGAAACGGCUCCGGGCAACCUCUUCUUUAACUUGGAUGCCUCUCACCCACCUCCCCGGCCGGGGCGGGAGAGCGCGGAGGGUGCGCGGGUGCGGGGUGCGGGAGCGCCUCGCCCGGCCCGGGGGUUGCUCCCACGCGGGGCCUGGGUCCCCACGCUGACCCAUGGGCUGCCCCUGCCAGAGGGUAGGGACACAGAAGCAGAGCUCUGCUCCCGCUGCACGAGAGAAACUAAUUCGCGUUUAAUUGCUUCUCUCAAGAAGGAAACCUCAGCGGUUCCCCCACGCAGACACGCGCGUUCCUGCCCGUGAGGAAAUUGUCUCCAGGAAAGCUCCUGAAGAAAAGUCCAAGGAAGCCAGGAUUACACCCAGCAUUACUAUUCAGAGGCUGUUUUGGGAAGAGGAAGGACCACAGCGGAGCUGGGGUGGCCUUUGGUGUCUUCACAGUUAAACACAAAGGUCAUGGCAACCCCCUCCCCACUGCUAGGAAGCUGAGAAGAAGAGGAAUCAUAACAUCAUAAGAUGUUUCCCUGUUCUCACUUCAUCCCAUAGUACCAGAUAAUUGCUUUUUCAACUGAAACUCAGUUUCUGUUAUUGCGAUGUUACUGCUCCUCCAUGAGCUUCAGCAUUUGUCUAAAACAAAAAUUAGAUAAUCAUGUCUUGUCUAUUAGAGUCUCUUGCUCAGUUUCUGGACUGGAUUGAUAACCAUUCACAUUUAAUGCUAUGUUAAGUAACAGCUUCCAGAAAUUGAGUAGGUGAGGAGGCUGUGGAGGAGAUAAGAGGAAAUUGUCUUGUUCUUGGGCUACAUCCCUGAGCUCCAAAAGCACCUCUCCUUCAGGUACAAAGCCUAGGCCACGUGGCUAGACUAGUGCUAAAACCAAGUCACCCCAGGGAACUAGGAUUUCUGAUAAAACCCAAAUACCUUUUAGUUUUAAAAAAACAGACAUCUUUUAUUUUACGUUUGAUGGCAAAUAAAGUCAGAUUGAUACGGGGUAGGAGUGCUGAGGGCAGUGGAAUUUAGUAGCAUGCAGGCAGCCUGUGAACUUGAAUAACAUCUCCAGCAACAUAUCCACACUCCAGCAACAACAACCUCCAGCCAGAAACAGUUGAAAAACACAUGUAAAGAAAGCAGAUCCAGAAACAACACAAAAGAACAUUGUGGCAAGUGGCAAAAAAACGCAGCAGCUUGCAGAACUGCUGCUCUCACUCCUUCCAGCUUUACAGCAACUGUUUCUGUAGGAGGUUACUUUUUCCCCUGGUCAGACUCUGUGUCUGUCCUUCCAUCUCCUCAUGUCAGCUGAAAAAUGUGUUGAAGAGGGCAGAAGUGAGUGGGUGACGUUGUGAAGUUGUGUUCUUCAACUAAAAUACACCUGCACUUGGCUAGUUACCCAGUUAUCCCACUGGGACUGUAACAGCCUAUUCAUUACAAUAACCUAACAAAUGGUCUAGAAGUUUUGUAUUGAAAGGAGGCUGCAGCUGACAUGACUGUUUCUUCCCUGAAAAUGCAAACGUGGAUGCGAUGGGAUGUCCCUUUCCCUUUGCUCGGGUGAGUGAUAGCUCAAAGUUUAAUUUUAAAUAUAAGCAGUCCAGCACAUUUUCUCAUAUUCAUGCAAACUGGUGCUUUGAAACAAGCUCAAUCACUCUUGCUUCAAGAGCAGGGUGGGCAGGAACCUCAGCUCGAGCACUGCUACAGUGAAAUGAUGGUGCACUUCUGCAGUGAUGCUUGACUGUCUGGGGGUGCCGACACUGGUUAGAGCAGCAGGGAUUUCUCUGCUGCUCCCACACACAGCCCGUGAAAGGCAAUCAGUCUUUGCAGGGAACAGUUCAAAUAAUUCAUGUCCCAUAAUAAUUGUAUAUUCCUACUAAAGUGACACUGAACAGUCGAUUCUUCGAGAAAAGAGAUUUGCCCAUCACCCUAGAUGAUUGCUAACGCGUUACAUAUCUAAAAAGAAAUCCCUAAAGCCGCACGAUGGCAUGUAAGUAUGGACAAAUUAGUGAUGAUUCCCAAAAGUGGCUGAAAUGGGAAGUUCUUCGCACAUGCGCUGGGUUGUAGAAAGGAGCCUGAAUCCCUCCCCUGUGCCUGCUAGACCCUUCAUAUCAUGAUGACUGGCUUGUACAACUCCCCUCUCUUCACUGUUGUCUGCUGUGCAAACAUAUGGUUGGUGUUUCCUCAGUAGGGAGCCCCCAGCUGAGAUUGCACCUGUGGUAUAGUCAACAGUAAACACAACUAAAGAGAGUUAACCUACUUAUGUGCACUUGAGAGAGGUGAGUUUACCCACUUUUAUUUACUGCUACGCCACCGGACUGAGCUUCAGCGUAAAUUGGUUCAAGGUGCCUUGUUUCAGCAGUCAUACAGAGAACUGGCUUCUUAGUGAUGCUGUAACUCAAAGGUGUGCAAAAUCACUGCCUAACUGGGAAUAAAAUUAUCAUAAGCACAAUUAUGUCUGUGCUGAAAGGACAAGGUCAGAAGAGAGAAUCCAAAAUGUCAACAAGACUAGUUCAUGAUGGAUUGUCCCAGACAAAGCUGUCCAAUGUUAUACAUCACAAAAAGUUAAAAGAUGAUGUAAUUUAUAUGUUAGACUCAUUGUUAAUUCACACCAGAACUCGAGGAACGGCAAAAUCAGUUGUAGUACUUUCAGCCAUAUGGCACGUUUUGGGAUGUGUGGUGAGGGUGGUUGGCAAUACGUGAUUUUAUCUUCAGCAUGUCAGGAAAGCAUUUUCUGAGCUGACAGUAGCUUUUGCAUUUGGCACCGAUAAUCUUGGGGGACUUCGUGUCAGUCUGCUUUCCCCUCCUUGGCUUCACAACAACUUGCUCUACUUUCGAAAGAAAAGGUGUUUAUGCAGCCGGAAGGGUCUUUGAGUAAGUCCUUCUGCUCCAGGGUUUUGGCGUUGAUUGUUUAAACCUCUUGGGGUGGUGCAUCACAGUUAGACUGAACUACUCAAGAGCAAUUUGGUGGCGAUAGUGGCUUCUUACUAGAUCUCAGAUGUUUCUUGCAGGGCUUCUUGUGCUCCUACCCUGAUAUUUCCUUUCUUCCUUUUUGUUUUAGCCACCUUUUACACUAAACCAACAUAUUUCUUUAGUAAGCAUCCACAAAAGUCUGGUCAGCAACCAGUGUUCACAUAUUGUUUUGGAACACGUCUGUGUUCAUGGCUGUUGAAAAAAAGGAGAUGAAAACAUCACUCUUUUCUUUGCGUCCAAUCUGAACGCAUCUUGGUCAUUACAGGUGGGAAUGGAAGAGCUGCCUCUUAUUGUAGCUGUCUGAUAUUUCUAUGAAAAGAAAUACUGAUUAUAAUAUUUCUAGAUUAUACGAACAAGGGCAAAAUUUUCUGUUGUUACCCAGAUCUUCAGGAGUGAAAACAAAGAUCAUGGCAUUCAACUCCCAGGAUGCAAAGAAAAGCAGUUAUGCCAGUCAUGUCAAAAAGCGUCUGGAAGAAGCCCAGGUGGUACGUAUGCAGCAAAGCAGCAACAGACAUAUUUGAAGGUUCUCCCCUUCCUGAAAAACCUUAAUUUGCUGACUUUUCUGAAUGCAUGCAGGCACCCUCAGUAACUGAGUGCAGUGCUGCUGGAGUUGAGCACAGGAUGCACCUUCCCCUCCUGCCUGCUGUGUGCUGCUUCCUGGGAGACUUGCUAUUGGCAGGCACAUGGGCCAGACAGCAGAACUUCCUGGCACAGAGGUGGAGGGGAAGGGAUAGAGUGAAAAAAGGAGAACAUGGAGGCCUAGAUUUUGGUUCCCCUCUGGAAGCUGGAAGGGGGAGAGGAACUAUGACUUGGCCUUCAGGGUAGGAGUGAGAGCUGAAAAUGAGAAAAGUGGAGUAGGAAUAGUUUGGCAAAGAAAUUAGAGCUGGGUGAAGAAGGCACCUGGGUCUGAGGACUGGGAGGAGGAUCCUGCUGUCUGAAAGAAAAGGAAAGCUUAAUGAGGGCACUCCAAGUAAGUGAGAAGCUGUGUGGAGAGCUGGAGUACCUAUGACUGGCUGUGUAAAGGAGUCUCAGACUUCUUGAGCCAUAAAGGAAGGAUUGGGACAUAGUGGGAAAACAGGCACACGCAGAAUUUUCAUUUGCAGUGGAGCAAAGAGAUAAGUCCAAAGAGAGGGGAACAGAUUGAGAGGGCCUGGCUUCAGGUGGAGUAAGUAAGAGAACUGUAAGUCUCUUGGACCUUGCAUUGGACCAUAUUUAUUGUCUUAGGUUAGCCUGCAGAAGACAAGAUCA